GAUGAACGCUAGCGGCAGGCUUAACACAUGCAAGUCGAGGGGCAGCAUAAAUAGUAGCAAUACUAUUGGUGGCGACCGGCGGACGGGUGCGUAACGCGUAUACAACCUUCCCUAAACAGGGGGAUAAUCUGGAGAAAUUCGGUCUAAUACCCCAUAACAUCAGAGCAGGCAUCUGUUUUGGUUAAAAUUUCCGGAGGUUUAGGAUGGGUAUGCGUAGCAUUAGCUAGUUGGUGAGGUAACGGCUCACCAAGGCGACGAUGCUUAGGGGGACUGAGAGGUUAACCCCCCACACUGGUACUGAGACACGGACCAGACUCCUACGGGAGGCAGCAGUGAGGAAUAUUGGUCAAUGGGCGGAAGCCUGAACCAGCCAUGCCGCGUGCAGGAUGACGGCUCUAUGAGUUGUAAACUGCUUUUGUACGAGGGGAGAGUGGGCUACGUGUAGCCUUUUGAAAGUAUCGUACGAAUAAGGAUCGGCUAACUCCGUGCCAGCAGCCGCGGUAA
rnacentral:rRNA from 1 species